rnacentral:rRNA from 1 species
GAUGAACGCUAGCGGCAGGCUUAACACAUGCAAGUCGAGGGGUAUGCUUCUUCGGAAGCAGAGACCGGCGCACGGGUGCGUAACGCGUAUGCAAUCUACCUUUUACAGAGGGAUAGCCCAGAGAAAUUUGGAUUAAUACCUCAUAGUAUUAUAGAAUGGCAUCAUUUCAUAAUUAAAGUCACAACGGUAAAAGAAUGAGCAUGCGUCCCAUUAGCUAGNGGUAAGGUAACGGCUUACCAAGCUACGAUGGGUAGGGGUCCUGAGAGGGAGACUCCCCCACACUGGUACUGAGACACGGACC